UACGUAGGGGGCGAGCGUUGUCCGGAAUCAUUGGGCGUAAAGAGCGUGUAGGCGGCUUGGCAAGUCUGACGUGAAAGCCCGCGGCUCAACCGCGGAUUGUCGUUGGAAACUGCCUCGCUAGAGUCCGGAAGAGGAGAGCGGAAUUCCUGGUGUAGCGGUGGAAUGCGCAGAUAUCAGGAAGAACACCCGUGGCGAAGGCGGCUCUCUGGGACGGUACUGACGCUGAGGUGCGAAAGCGUGGGGAGCGAACAGG
rnacentral:rRNA from 1 species